AACGAACGCUGGCGGCAUGCCUAACACAUGCAAGUCGAACGAGACCUUCGGGUCUAGUGGCGCACGUGUUCGUAACGCGUGGGAACCUGCCCUUAGGUUCGGAAUAACUCCCCGAAAUGGGUGCUAAUACCGGAGAAUGUUUUCGGACCAAAGAUUUAUCGCCUUUGGAUGGGCCCGCGUUGGAUUAGCUAGUUGGUAGGGUAAAAGCCUACCAAGGCGACGAUCCAUAGCUGGUCUGAGAGGAUGAUCAGCCACACUGGGACUGAGACACGGCCCAGACUCCUACGGGAGGCAGCAGUGGGGAAUAUUGGAGAAUGGGCGCAAGCCUGAUCCAGCAAUGCCGCGUGAGUGAUGCAGGCCUUAGGGUUGUAAAGCUCUUUUACACGAGAUGAUAAUGACAGUACCGGGAGAAUAAGCUCCGGCUAACUACGUG
rnacentral:rRNA from 1 species